AUUGAACGCUGGCGGCAGGCCUAACACAUGCAAGUCGAGCGGAUGAAGGUAGCUUGCUACCUGAUUCAGCGGCGGACGGGUGAGUAAUGCCUAGGAAUCUGCCUGGUAGUGGGGGACAACGUUUCGAAAGGAACGCUAAUACCGCAUACGUCCUACGGGAGAAAGUGGGGGAUCUUCGGACCUCACGCUAUCAGAUGAGCCUAGGUACGAUUAGCUAGUUGGUGAGGUAAAGGCUCACCAAGGCGACGAUCGUUAACUGGUCUGAGAGGAUGAUCAGUCAAACAGGAACUGAGACGCGGUCCAGACUCCUACGGGAGGCAGCAGUGGGGAAAAUUGGACAAUGGGCGAAAGCCUGAUCCAGCCAGGCCGCGUGUGUGAAGAAGGUCUUCGGAUUGUAAAGCACUUUAAGUUGGGAGGAAGGGCAGUAAGUUAAUACCUUGCUGUUUUGACGUUACCGACAGAAUAAGCACCGGCUAACUUCGUGCCAGCCGCCGCCGUAACAC
rnacentral:rRNA from 1 species